rnacentral:lncRNA from 1 species
CCUGUGCCGGUGCAUCACCACUCUUUUUGAGAAGAAAUUGUUCCUCAUAUCCAAACUGGCCCUUUCCUAGUGCAGCUUGAGGCCAUCACCUCUCAUCCUAUCACCUCUCAUCCCAUCACUGUUACCUGGAAGCAGAGGCUGACCCCCACCUCAUCACCACCUCCUGUCAGGGAGUUGUAGAGGGCAGUGAGCUCUCCCCUGAGCCUCCUUCUCUCCAAACUGACCCAUCCCAUCCCUCAGCUUCUCCCCAUAAGACUUGUGCUCCAGACCCUGCACAGCUCCGUUGCCCUUUUGUUAACUUCUGGGGUCACAAAAGGUGUCAAACACAGCUGGAAAGUAGUGUGUGAUGAUGAGGUGGCACGGCUGCUUCCUUACAUCUCAAUGCUCGAUGUUUUAAGCUUGAUAAUAGUAUUCUAAUGUAUAUUUUAUGUGGAAAAAAUAUGUCACUUGUUUAUCUACCUCUACAGCUUAAAAUUCAGUAUGGGAAAUGUAUUUCUUCUCUCUACCUCUGGACUUUUAGCUGUUCAAUAAUAAUAGUUAGCGUUAAAAGUUCAUAACAUUUUAUCUUUAAUAGCAAGACUUUUACCUUGAAUAUGCUGGUAAAAUUGCACAUUUCAUACCUGAGUACAAUGCUAAUGAUGUUAGAAAAUGCUAGCCCAUCUUGAACCAAAUUAUACACUUCCCUCCAAACAUUUAGUUCGUUUCCUCUGCAUCAGAGAUGGCAAAAAAAGUAAUAUAAACACAGGAGAAACAGAAGAAAGAACAGGCAGAGAUGUUGGAAGCAACAUGAAGCAGGCAGAAGCCCUGUAGCUGAGACUCCCAAACCCUGCUCAUUGCCUUAGCCUUGCUGCAGCAGGUAGCCAGGCAGCCAGCUGUGUGAGCCUAUGGCGCGUGGCUCAGCACAACCUGUGUUCCAGAAGACGUCCAGGAGAGAUUAGCAGGUAUGAGAAAUUACAAACAGAAUCAAGUUUUUGGAAAUGAAACGGACAGCUGUUGUGAC